GCCCCGGCUGCAACCACACACUGUGCGAGGCACAGUGAAUUUUUCCUCUUAAGAUUGCAGCAAAAAUGGGACUCUUCAUUUCGCAGUGAAAGGAACCAGAGUUGCCAAAAAGGCUGCUUCCAGGUCUGGGGCAGGCUAAGUACAAUGAUCCUGGAACAUCUUACCAUUUCAGAAGACAAGCCCAUAAAGAUACUUGGGUAGAAGGAAAGUUGAGUGGUUCCACUAACCAAAGGUAAUUCUACGAAAUUAGCUUAACACAAGAAAUUUACUGAUACAGUUCCUCCCCAGAAUAGCAGCUUCCUCUGGGAACAUAUCAGUCAAGACCACCUGCCCUGCCCCAAGAAGCUCCAGCAGACUUCUUGAAGCUUAUUGGCAUUGAUGGGUCACAUGGCUACUCUUAACUGCAAUGGAAGAUUGGAAAGCAAGUCUUUGGAGAAAGGGGAAAAAGUUGGCUAUGAUAAGCUGAACCCAAGCAUCCUUGUCCCCUGGGGCUGGGCACAUGUUGCCCAAACAAAAUCAGGGCUUUGUUAGCCACAUAGAUGGGGGAAUGGCUGCAUGGUGAGCAACAAAUAGUGCUAUCACCAGGUAUUAAACUAAUAAAUA